GGUCCAUCCAGUAGAUGCCAGGGUCACAGCUGUGAUGUCCUAUCCAGCUCUCACUACCAGACGUGACCUCCGAUGUUUUCUGGGCAUGACUGAUUACUGCCCUUCCCUCUUCCUGCUGCUGUAGUGAUUGUGUGAAUGAGCACACCUGUGCUGACUUGCUCAUCAGGGCCUAGAGGAUAAAGACCAGGAGGAACAAACAGAUGAUGUUUAUUAGUGUUAUGUUUAGCCUUAUUUUAAUUUAACUGUCAACUUGUUGUUUCAUUUAUGUUUUUAUUUAGUUCCACUUUCGUCUUGUAUAGAAAGUAGUUUUCAGUUGGUGUUUUUGGGUCUUUUGUAAACCUUAUUUAAGUUGUGAAUAAAUUCUUGGUCUGUUCAUACUGUA